AGAAGGGGCCGCUUUGGGCCGGGCUGCGCCCUGCACUGUGAUUGCGGGGGUGGGGCCGACUGCGACCCCAUCAGUGGGCAGUGCCACUGUGUGGACAGCUACAUGGGACCCACUUGCCGGGAAGUGCCCACACAGAUAUCCUCUAGCAGACCAGCACCCCAGCACCCCAGCAGCAGGGCCAUGAAGCACUAAAUCAGAGGAACGCCCACAGAUGUCCACUACCCAGCCCAAGGGACCCAGGUCUCUGCUGGAGACUGAGAAGACGCAGGUGGGACGUCUGAGUCCACGCCUCUCCUGGAAAGCCAUGGAUCUCUGUGGACAGCUUUAGAUCGUCACGCAGCCACACAUCAGGGCUCUGUGGUCAUGGGGAAGAAGGCCUCCUCUGGACAUAAGGAAUCCAGGGAAGUGGACUGGGCCUCAGGCCGAUGUUUACAUGGGGACCCUGCAGGCUGCCCUGUGGAAUCCUGGCUCUCUUCAGGGAUCUGGGGUGGGGAUAAGCAAGGCCCCACCUGCCUGCUAGGUCCUUCUGGUGCUAAGCCAUGGACUGCUGCGGCCAGCCAACUGUUUACCUGGAAAUGUAGUCCAGUCUGUAUUUAUGUAAGGUAUUUAUGGGCAAUUCCACAUGCCGUUAUGGCCCUGGGUUGGCUGGAAGCUGCCUGAUCUCAGAACUCAGGCAGAAGGCUUUGGGGGUGGGGGGCUGCCAGCAAGCGGGAUUAAGGGUUUUGUAAAACCCAGUGAGUUAAAGGCACAGUGGUGUCCUCA